GACGAACGCUGGCGGCGUGCUUAACACAUGCAAGUCGAACGGAAAGGCCCUGCUUUUGUGGGGUGCUCGAGUGGCGAACGGGUGGGUAACACGUGAGUAACCUGCCCUUGACUUUGGGAUAACUUCAGGAAACUGGGGCUAAUACCGGAUAGGAGCUCCUGCUGCAUGGUGGGGGUUGGAAAGUUUCGGCGGUUGGGGAUGGACUCGCGGCUUAUCAGCUUGUUGGUGGGGUAGUGGCUUACCAAGGCUUUGACGGGUAGCCGGCCUGAGAGGGUGACCGGCCACAUUGGGACUGAGAUACGGCCCAGACUCCUACGGGAGGCAGCAGUGGGGAAUAUUGCACAAUGGGCGGAAGCCUGAUGCAGCAACGCCGCGUGCGGGAUGACGGCCUUCGGGUUGUAAACCGCCUUCGCCUGUGACGAAGCGUGAGUGACGGUAAUGGGUAAAGAAGCACCGGCUAACUACGUG
rnacentral:rRNA from 1 species